ensembl:lncRNA
CUCCUAUCCUCCUUGUUCCCUGUCAGGAGCUGGGAAGCUUGCAAUCAUGGCUGGAAUUUUGCUUUCUUUCUCCAGAGCCCGCAGGCUGCUUCAGAGGGCCUGAUUAGCACUGUAGAUAUUCUUCAUGCGAGGCUCCUAUCAGCAAACCGAAGGCACAACCCUCAGACAACAGCCCUCAGACACCCGCCUGCCAGCGCUACAGCUGACAGGCUGUGCCAUAAUAGCUUCUCGCUGUUACAGCUCUCCCGGCUCUCCAAUUAAAACUAAAAGGAAAAAAAAAAAAAAGAAAGGAAAAAAAAAAAAGGGAGGAGAAGGGAAGAAAGGAAGCUUUCUGCAUACUAAACACUCUCUGUUCUUCAAUGUGGGCACAAGGAUAUUUCUAGCUGUUCCCCAGGAAUGGUGAGGUAGAAUUGAAGCCGGACAGCAGGAGUGGAGGCUCUGAAGGCAGUGGGCGAGCCUUUGGUUUACCCCUGGGUGCCACCAACAGCAAGCAAGAGGCUCCCCUGAGCUGGACCCCUGGGCGAGGCUGAGCCAAGGGUACCCACUGCAACAACACAAGUCCAAGAGGAGAGAUCCCAGAACAAAGUUAGAAUGGGUGCAAAGUAAAAGAAAGGUCCGUGUCUAACAGUAGAAAGAGCACAGAGGUUCAGGCUCAUAAGAAGACAGAACUUGAUUGGUAACAGAAUAUCGGUCAGGUCUCUGCAGUCACUUGGCCAAGAUGAAGUGAGCAGAAUGUCCUCUCACCGUGACUGUGAUGGAUAAUGCUUCUGUUUGACUUCUCCUGAAUAGUGCAUGCGCUAUUACACACUUGGAAUCCUUAUAUUCUCUGGCAGCUGUAAGAAGACUGCAAACUGUAGCUCCUCAUGUAGCCUACCAGUCUUUUUGUAUGAAGACUUGUUUGCUGAAUGUUGCCCAUCAAACAUUGAGACACUGGGAAUAAAACAGCGCUAUUAAGGUUGGAAAAGGUCUCUGAGAACAUCUAGUCCAACUGCCCACCUAGCAUGACGUUAUAUUGCAAUUCUUUCUUUGGCUUUUGCACAGCUUUGAAAACCUAAGCGCAGGUGAGGCAGAGAAGCACUCAGAAUUCUUUGCCCAGAGACAAUAAUAGCCACUUCAGUGCUUGGACAGACGCAAGGCUUGUGCAGAUAAGGAAGGUGACAUCCUGCCUGCUUCGUGAGAAGAGCCUCUGCUGACUUCAUAC